rnacentral:rRNA from 1 species
GACGAACGCUGGCGGCGUGCCUAAUACAUGCAAGUAGGACGCAGUUGCGAACGGGUGAGUAACGCGUAGGUAACUACGUAUGAGAGGGGGAUAACUAUUGGAAACGAAAGCUAAUACCGCAUACUAGUAGAUGGACCUGCGUUUGAUUAGCUAGUAGGUAGGGUAAUGGCCUACCUAGGCAACGAGACAUAGCCGACGUGAGAGGGGGAUCGGCCCCACUGGGACUGAGACACGGCGCAGACUCUUCCGGGAGGCAGCAGUAGGGAAACUUCGGCAAAGGGGGGAAACUUGACCUAGCAACACCGCGUGAGUAAAGAAGGUUUUCGGGUCGUAAAGCUCAGUUUUAGAGGAAACCGUUCCUAACCAGAAAGGGACGGCUAAAUACGUGGCAGCAGCCCCGGUAAUAC